rnacentral:rRNA from 1 species
GAUGAACGCUGGCGGCGUGCCUAAUACAUGCAAGUCGAGCGAACAGACGAGGAGCUUGCUCCUCUGACGUUAGCGGCGGACGGGUGAGUAACACGUGGAUAACCUACCUAUAAGACUGGGAUAACUUCGGGAAACCGGAGCUAAUACCGGAUAAUAUAUUGAACCGCAUGGUUCAAUAGUGAAAGACGGUUUUGCUGUCACUUAUAGAUGGAUCCGCGCCGCAUUAGCUAGUUGGUAAGGUAACGGCUUACCAAGGCAACGAUGCGUAGCCGACCUGAGAGGGUGGUCGGCCACAAUGGAACUGAGACAAGGGCCAGACUCCUAAGGGAGGCAGCAGUAGGGAAUCUUCCGCAAUGGGCGAAAGCCUGACGGAGCAACGCCGCGUGAGUGAUGAAGGUCUUCGGAUCGUAAAACUCUGUUAUUAGGGAAGAACAAAUGUGUAAGUAACUAUGCACGUCUUGACGGUACCUAAUCAGAAAGCCACGGCUAACUACGUG